rnacentral:lncRNA from 1 species
GAAAGCAAUUCUGCUGCAUACGCCCUAGGGGGUGUGGCAAUAUAAGAAGACAAGCAGGGAAUGGAGCCGGGGGAGUGAGGCCCUGAACAAAACUCUUGUAUACUUUCCAAGUAGACCAGAACAAAGCGAAAACAGACAAAACCUCAGCGAUGCCAUCAGCUGGCCUUACAAGCCUUCCAUAUGAAUUC